UACUCAGGUAAAUUGCUUGAUGAGAUGG
rnacentral:piRNA from 1 species